rnacentral:misc_RNA from 1 species
GAUGAAGAACGUAGCAAAAUGCGAUACUUGGUGUGAAUUGCAGAAUCCCGUGAACCAUCGAGUCUUUGAACGCAAGUUGCGCCCGAAGCCAUUAGGCCGAGGGCACGCCUGCCUGGGCGUCACACGUCGUUGCCCCCCCAUCUACUCCUUCGGGAUUGCGGGGGGCGGAUGAUGGCCUCCCGUGCGCCUCGCCGCGCGGUUGGCAUAAAUGCCAAGUCCUCGGCGACGCACGCCACGACAAUCGGUGGUUGCGAAACCUCGGUUGCCCGUCGUGUGCGGUCGUCGCGCAUCGAGGGCUCGAAAAAAUUGCCGGGUUCCGGCUCGGCUUUCAACGCGACCCCAGGUCAGGCGGGGUUACCCGCUGAAUUUAAGCAUAUCAAUAAGCGGAGGA